rnacentral:misc_RNA from 1 species
UACGUAGGGAGCUAGCGUUGUCCGGAAUCAUUGGGCGUAAAGAGCUCGUAGGCGGUCUGUCGCGUCGGAUGUGAAAGCCCGGGGCUUAACCCCGGGUCUGCAUUCGAUACGGGCAGACUAGAGUGUGGUAGGGGAGAUCGUAAUUCCUGGUGUAGCGGUGAAAUGCGCAGAUAUCAGGAGGAACACCGGUGGCGAAGGCGGAUCUCUGGGCCAUUACUGACGCUGAGGCGCGAAAGCGUGGGGAGCAAACAGG